CAACGAUGUCGGCUGCCCCUGGCGGAGGAGGUGGGGUCCCGCGGGCUCCAGCAAGGCCAAGCAGGCCGCAAAGUUCGUCAAGGUGGUCAUCGACGGCGCGUCCUACCUGCGGAAGGUGGACCUCGAGGCCUACGCCGGCUACGACCUGGUCCUCGGCGCGCGCUCCAGGACAAGCUCUUCUCCCAUUUCAACAUCCGUGAGGGAGUUCGCCGACGAUGAGAGGAAGAGAGGAAGCAGGUGGACGCAGUGAACGGGACGGAGUACGUGUCCACGUACAAGGACACGGACGGCGACUGGAUGCUCGUCGACGAUGUCCCCUGGAAGUUUCAACGAAAUGAACUAGCAUGGAUGUUUAACGAAUUGGAAAGCUGGUGGAUGGUAGUUUGUAGAACCCUGGCAGUUUACCUAUUUGUCUAUUCAGUUUCAUAAUAUGCAUGUGUACUACUGUAUGUGUUCUUUUUCUGGCAAAAAAUACCUUUUCAGUUUCAUAUCUUCUGCAGGUAUAUUUUCAGACACCAUUAGCCUUUGAUUAGUUUCAGUUAUGCUGUUGCAUUGGCCUCACAGGAUUGUAUGUUCUUUGGCAGUUGUGCAGCGGUGUGGAUGAAAGUGCAGCUGGUGCAUGUGCCCAGCUUGUCUUUGCACCCAUUGAUGAAUCUUUUGCUGAUGAUGACGAUUCUGGCUGUUGCCGAUUCUGGAUGUUGAUGCACUGUAGUCUUGUUCUGCUAUAUUUUUUGGAUGUUCAACCUAGAUGUUCUGGAUGUUAGAUCCUUGUUUCUGUAGCGCUCAUACAUAUAUUCGAUUCAAUUUGUCCAUCUCAGCAGCUUCUUAGUUCAGGCAGAGGUCGUACAAGUGGCGGAGGAGGGUGAAGGCCUCGCCGACU